ensembl:snRNA U4 U4 spliceosomal RNA
UGCACGGUGGUGUGGCGGCAUAGUAGCCAAUGAGGUUUCUACAAGGCACAAUUAUUGCUAAUUGAAAACUUUUCCCAGGACCCCGCCAUGAAGACUUACAAGAUGUUAAUAGUUGGCAUUGACAAUUUUUGACAGUUUUUGUGGAGA